UACGAAGGGGGCUAGCGUUGCUCGGAAUUACUGGGCGUAAAGCGCACGUAGGCGGAUUGUUAAGUCGGGGGUGAAAUCCUGGAGCUCAACUCCAGAACUGCCUUCGAUACUGGCGAUCUCGAGUUCGGGAGAGGUGAGUGGGAACUGCGAGUGUAGAGGUGAAAUUCGUAGAUAUUCGCAAGAACACCAGUGGCGAAGGCGGCUCACUGGCCCGAUACUGACGCUGAGGUGCGAAAGCGUGGGGGAGCAAACAGG
rnacentral:rRNA from 1 species